GCUUACGGCCAUACCAGCCCAAGAACACCAGGUCUCGUCUGAUCUCGGAAGCUAAGAAGGCUUGGGUCCUGGUUAGUACUUGGAUGGGAGACCUCCUCGGAAUGCCAGGUGCUGUAAGCU
ensembl:rRNA 5S_rRNA 5S ribosomal RNA